CCAGACUCCUACGGGAGGCAGCAGUGAGGAAUAUUGGUCAAUGGCCGGAAGGCUGAACCAGCCAAGUCGCGUGAGGGACGACUGCCCUAUGGGUUGUAAACCUCUUUUAUAAGGGAAGAAUAAAUGCUACGUGUAGCAUGAUGCCUGUACCUUAUGAAUAAGCAUCGGCUAACUCCGUGCCAGCAGCCGCGGUAAUACGUAGGGGGCGAGCGUUGUCCGGAAUCACUGGGCGUAAAGGGCGCGUAGGCGGUAAUAUAAGUCAGAUGUGAAAGGUGGGGGCUCAACCCCUAGAGUGCAACUGAUACUGUAUAACUUGAGUGUGAGAGAGGGAAGCGGAAUUCCUAGUGUAGCGGUGAAAUGCGUAGAUAUUAGGAGGAACACCAGUGGCGAAGGCGGCUUUCUGGCGCAUAACUGACGCUGAGGCGCGAAAGCGUGGGGAGCAAACAGGAUUAGAUACCCCCGUAUU
rnacentral:rRNA from 1 species